rnacentral:rRNA from 1 species
AGUGGCGGACGGGUGAGUAACGCGUAAGAAUCUAACUUCAGGACGGGGACAACAGUUGGAAACGACUGCUAAUACCCGAUGUGCCGCAAGGUGAAACCUAAUUGGCCUGGAGAAGAGCUUGCGUCUGAUUAGCUAGUUGGUGGGGUAAAGGCCUACCAAGGCGACGAUCAGUAGCUGGUCUGAGAGGAUGAGCAGCCACACUGGGACUGAGACACGGCCCAGACUCCUACGGGAGGCAGCAGUGGGGAAUUUUCCGCAAUGGGCGAAAGCCUGACGGAGCAACGCCGCGUGAGGGAGGAAGGUCUUUGGAUUGUAAACCUCUUUUCUCAAGGAAGAAGUUCUGACGGUACUUGAGGAAUCAGCCUCGGCUAACUCCGUGCCAGCAGCCGCGGUAAUACGGGGGAGGCAAGCGUUAUCCGGAAUUAUUGGGCGUAAAGCGUCAGCAGGUGGUCAGCCAAGUCUGCCGUCAAAUCAGGUUGCUUAACGACCUAAAGGCGGUGGAAACUGGCAGACUAGAGAGCAGUAGGGGUAGCAGGAAUUCCCAGUGUAGCGGUGAAAUGCGUAGAGAUUGGGAAGAACAUCGGUGGCGAAAGCGUGCUACUGGGCUGUAUCUGACACUCAGGGACGAAAGCUAGGGGAGCGAAAGGGAUUAGAUACCCCUGUAGUCCUAGCCGUAAACGAUGGAUACUAGGCGUGGCUU